GUCAUUUGGCAUCAUCCCAAUUUUGUUCACUUCAAUCUUCUCUUUUCUUUCUUUUCUUGUGCUUUUUGGCUCGCUCAUUUUCCUUAUUCCCGCAGUUUCCUCUCAUUUUCACAUCCCACAACUUCAUUCUCUUUUUUACCUCCCUUUUUUAAUUUUAAAAAAUGAUUUGAUCGAACCCUAUGUAGGUUGCCUACGUAUCAUGUCCCUCAUAAAUAAGAUCAAGCGUAGUUCUUGAAAAAGUAAUGGACAAAUAAACUAAAAAUAAAAAUCUUUUUGGAUUUUCAUUUAUUGGUUUUUCAAAUACAAAACAGAUAGUACGAUAAUGAAAGACUCGACAAUCUUAACUAGACUAACAGACUCGAUACUACUAUACAGGACUAAUAAUUAAAAGACUACAUAAACGACAGACUCAAAACAUAAAAGUUUCCUCAAGCAGCUCGAGCAUGCAAUGGUCUUGACUAAAAUGGUCCUGGGGUAUUUUGUCAUGUUCAAACUUUAGCAAAUCGCUCCAUACCUGAAUGAGAAAAAUAAGAUCAAAUAGAUCAGUGACUCAAGACACCAUGGAAUCUCCUAUUGGACACAUGCAAGGCAUAAUUUGGCUAUUUUUGCAAAAUGAUCUAAGUGGCUAUUAGCGCAAACUUGACAAAGUUGACCCCUAAUGAAUGAAAAAUACUCCAUUUAAAGCUCACAUGGCUCCAACAUCCCAACAAUCAUGGCCUUAAAAAAUUACUCUACGGAAAUGACCCAUUUUGCAAAAAUGGCCGAUAUGGCCGGAAGUAGCUAAAGAUGCAAACUCAAAAGGGAAGGACCUUAAAGUAAUAUGACACCAAGUUGUGGACUUAAGAUCCUAAGACAUGGGUAAUUGAACCACUUUUUGCGAAAAUGACCCCAUUUUGCAAGAAUGACCGAUGUGGCCAAAAGUGGCUAGACAUUCAAAUUCAACAGGAAAUGGCCUUGAAGUAAGGAGACAGCUAAUUGUGGAUUCUAGACUCUCCAAACACGGUUCAACAGGCCACUUCACAAAAUUGCCCUAUUUUGCAACAAAGCCGAUGUGGCCAAAAGUAAAGGAAAAGUAUAAAAUCUUUUUGGAUUUUCUUUUUCUCCUUUUUUUUUUGAAUUUUUGAAAAAUAAUGGAAAAGUGUAAAAAAAAAUUGGAUUUUCUUUUUCAUUUUCAUUUUUUGAUUUUUGGAAAACUAUGAAAGAAAAAUGUGAGUGAGCUCUACUUGCUUCAUUUUUCACCCUUCUUUCCAAAGCAUCGGUCCGCCAAAUGACCUUCCUACCCUCACAGAUGCAACAAUUAUCACAUAGGAUGAUUAAAUGUCAUUUUGGGCCACGGGCCCAUUUUGACAAAAUUUGGACAAGCUUCCUACAAAGGAACACGGUACCUGGGACCGAGCCCUACUAGGUCUAAAUGACAUGAUGCAAAUAAGAAUGACCUAAAGGCUGACCUAAGUUUGGGGUUCACUAACAAGGCAAUUCGGGAAGCGUAUGGUCGAUGGUAGCUGCUCAAGCUUUCCACCCACUCCAUACGUCCGACGACCCCCCCUCCUAAAUUAAGGGUGACUCAACAAAGAGUUCGUGCACGCGACGCGUGCUCCGAGACUUGUUGCAGAAAGAAGACCCAUGGUUAUGUAAAUGAUGACAAUUUAUAAAGCAGUAACACAUAAAAGAAAAAACGGUAAACAAAUAAGCAACUAGCAAAUAAAAAUGACAAACAAAAUAAAAAGCAAACAAAAACAUAAAAACCUCAACUGAAUAUCCUAAAAACCAACACGAUCAAGUACUAGCUCGAACCUGCAAUUCCCCAGCAGAGUCGCCAGAGAUGUCACACCCCCUUUUUAUCAAACUCACCAAACCCUCUUAAAAAGAAUAAAAAGAUUUAGUGAAAAGCUUGAAAAAGGUUUUCAAUUUUGAAAGUGACAAAAAUUGUAUUCAAAAGGAAAAUAACUCAGAGUCGCCACCUGACUUUGAUUUCGGUGUGCCAGGUCACCUUUUUUUUUUUUAAAUGACUUUUCCUUUUAAAAUAUUUCAGACUCUAAAACUAAGUCCGCUCCAGAAAAUCGGGUAAGGGGGUUCAUUUGACUCGGAGAGAAGGUGUUAGGCAUUCCCCGAGUCCCGUAAAUAGUACGGUUGCGAACUCGAUCAAGUUGACUUCUAAAAUAUUCAAGUUGAGGUAAAAUCACAAAAAACAAUAAACACACAUGAGGCUCGAGGUCGUCCCCGCCUAAUAAAAGAAAAUAGAAAAAAAGAAUAAAACACUACAAGUUCUACAUUUGACUUCUCAUUACAAAGUUCUACGGGGCAUUCCUCGGAAUAAAAUAUAUAUAAAUCUCUCGGGACAUUCCCCGGGUAAAUUUAACUAAGGGUUGCCUACCCGUAUUAGUGAACCUAAGUAUACUACUGAUUUUUGGCAAGUAAAUAAACGAAAUUAAUAAAAAUCAACUCAUGCCUAAAUAUUCGAUUUUAUUUACAAGCUUAUAGUCUGUUAUUUAAUUUAUUUACUAAAUGACGUACAAAUAAAUACCACUUAAUCAUAAUUAUCCCCAACCCCACUUAAUGUCUCCAUUCAACUUAAGCUUUAAUACAAAAUAGUUGAUAAUUAAAGUUCCAAACAAAACAAAACUCAAAGGAAUCUGAAGCCGAAAUUUGCAAGUAGUUCACAAAACAACCAUUGAAGCAUGAACAAGCAUGAACAGUAAACAAACGCAAACAACUCACGGAGAUAAACCCAAAAAAAAAACAAAGGAAAGAGAAAGAUUGAACCUUAGAUGAGUCCCUCUUUUAUAUUGAAUAGUAAAACUCCAAAUCAAGUGCACAUCAGUGGUUGCUUCAAGCCUAUGAACCUGGACCGGAAACCUCAUACGGACGCCCCCAAGCUCAAAACUGAGAAUGCCUUCGUGAGGCUAGGGAUAACUGGGACACUCUAGUCCAAACUCAUCCUCUCGUUCUCACUUUGUUAUCAGAUAUUAGGAGACUCAAGCUAUUUGUAAUUCUUAAAAGGAUGAUAUACAUUAUCUUCUUUCUAGAUCAUGACGAAACUUGUUCUUCUAUGAAUUCAAGAAUGAACACUAACAACAAACCCUCUUAAGUUUUUUCAUUUUUCUUUCGCAGCUAGCGGAUGCUGCUGGUUGGCAGCAGAGGCUGCUGCUGCUGGUGGCAGGGUCGCUGGUCGAUGUUGACCUGGUUGUUCUUCGGUAGUUUUUGGAAGGGCCAGAGAUGGAAAGCUGUUGGUUUGUCGCCGGACUUGCUGCUGCGCGGGAGGCUGGUUGACGGAGAGACAACGAUGGGUGGUCGUUUGCUUGAUGAGAGGAGGAUAUGGGCACUGAUCUCUUUUCCGGUGAGUUUGGUCGUGUUCAGGCUGCUGAUGGCUUGGAGUCUUUUUGGGUCUCUCUCACUAUGGUUCAGCUAGCCUCUCGAAGAAGAAGAUGGGCGCCCCUGGUGUUCUUAAAGUUCAGCUAGGUUUUUUGUGUGUUGUAGUCUAAGGUUCUAGAAGCAGACCCUAGGGGUGGGGGUGUAAGGGUUUAAAGAAGAAGGGGUAAUGGGUUAGGUCUUGCUGGGCUUAAAAAUUGGGCCAAAAGAUUAAAAAUGGAUCUCUCUCAUUAAAAAUGUGAUAAACUAACC
rnacentral:lncRNA from 1 species